rnacentral:rRNA from 1 species
UUGAACGCUGGCGGCAUGCCUUACACAUGGCAAGUCGAACGGCAGCACGGGAGCAAUCCUGGUGGCGAGUGGCGAACGGGUGAGUAAUAUAUCGGAACGUGCCCAGUCGUGGGGGAUAACGUAGCGAAAGCUACGCUAAUACCGCAUACGAUCUAUGGAUGAAANCGGGGAUCGCAAGACCUCGCGCGAUUGGAGCGGCCGAUAUCAGAUUAGGUAGUUGGUGAGGUAAAGGCUCACCAAGCCGACGAUCUGUAGCUGGUCUGAGAGGACGACCAGCCACACUGGGACUGAGACACGGCCCAGACUCCUACGGGAGGCAGCAGUGGGGAAUUUUGGACAAUGGGCGCAAGCCUGAUCCAGCAAUGCCGCGUGCAGGAUGAAGGCCUUCGGGUUGUAAACUGCUUUUGUACGGAACGAAACGGUGAGCUCUAAUACAGUUUGCUAAUGACGGUACCGUAAGAAUAAGCACCGGCUAACUACGUG